CAAGCAGUAACAAUAAUUUUUUUAGCAUGUUUAAUCUGUCAUACAAUGCCACGAUGGCUUCUAUGUUUUAAUCGGUCAUACAAUGCCAUAAUGGUUUCUAUUUUUCUUCCUUUAUCUAUCUUCUGCUCAAGAAAGUAAUGCUCAAGCCAUUAAAAUGAUAAGAUCAGUCGUCAAUGACAAUUCCAAACUAUAUCAACUAAAGCAAUCUUUUACAUGGUAAUAAGAAAUUGGGAAACACAAUAAAUUUUGAAAGAAGAAUAUAGAUCUGUCCACGAGAUCACAAAAUUUACAGCACUUGUUGCUGCAAGUCAUCAUAAUCAUCCAAGAGGAGUCUUUUUAGUUCAUUGCAUCAUAAUCAUCCAACUUCUCAUUGUACUCCAGCACCUUUCUCUUUAUCUUGGACGUAUCUACCCAAGUGAUGAAAUCUUCCAUAUUCCUUGUAACCAAGAAUGCUGGGUCAGUAACUGUCUCCGGACCAACUCGAAUGUGACCCUGCUCAAUGUAUGUGACGGCUUCUUUCAAAUGCUCAGCAAACUUCAAUCGCAUUAAAACAGUUGAAAGCCUUCGUCUGCAAUCAAAGAAAUAACAAUUAGAAUCAAAGAAAUGCAGCAGACCAAAAUAGAAGAGCAAGAGAUUUGGCAAAUAAGCAGAGUUACAGAUUGAAUAGAGGUUCAUCUUUUUACAAUUCAAUCAACCUUCAGUAUUUCAGGUAUUUUGAAGUUACAAAGACCCUUGCUUCAAGUCCUUAUAGAGGUGAUUUUAUUUUACACCAUCACUAUUAAAUAGUGCAACUAUUUUCCUUCCAGUGCAAUGCUUUGUGCACACAAUUGUCUGCGUGUGCGUGAGACAGAGAGAGGAAAAGAGAGAAAGCAAGGCAUUUGUGUACCUGCAGAAUGAUGACACUGACAAACGAUCACACAAAGCCAGGCUUUUCCUGGUUGGUAUCACUCCCAUGUUAUAGAGUUUCUCCAAAAGCAUAUCAGUCAUUUCAACUCGAAAAGGGUCUUUAGGAUCCAUCUGCUUCAAUAUGCUGACCAACUUCUGCACCAUCCGGCACAAACUCGAAUACUUCUUGUAAUCAUCCCGCUCGACUAUGUGGUAACGAUGCAUAACAUUGGCUUCUCUGUGGUCGCCCUCCCUCUUCCAUUGCAAGAAAUUUACCUUCUUCAGUAGCUUUUGCUCAUGAAACUUUAGCUUCCUCAUUCUUCAAUCUGCGAUGGAUUGCUUAUGUGAUGCGGGAAGGAUGAGUGGCAGCGGAUUGCUUCGGUGCAGCAGCGAGGUUGAGGGGCAGGCGACGCUUUGCCUCUGUGCUGCGGCGAGAUUGAGGAGCGGGGGAUUCUUCUUUGCAGUGAAGAGAUUGAGAGGCGGAGCAGAUUGGUUCUGUGCAGAGGCGAGACUGAGGGACGGCGGACGGAUUGGAUGGAGGAACGGAUGGCAAUGAGCUUACUGAGUGAAUCGAGAGAGUCUGAGAGUGAAUAGCGGGAAAGCGUGAGACGGUGCUAACGAUGGGAUGAAGACUUAGGUUUAGGUUUACGUUUUUUGGCUGAAUUUAAGCUUAGAAAAUUAAAUUGCUUCAAAAAAUAAAAGUUUAGAAAAUUUAACUUACAACAUAUAAAAUUGGUAAAACAUAAAAUUGAC
rnacentral:misc_RNA from 1 species